rnacentral:rRNA from 1 species
UUGGCGUAGGUGAUGGGCAGCCGGUCCACAUUCCGGCACUACCGCCAAUCGUUUGUAGCGAUGGGGGGACACAGAAGGGUAGGCCAGCAGCGUGAAGGACAUCGCUGUCUAAGCCGGUAGGCGGAGGAAGGAGGCAAAUCCCUUUCCUCAAAGAACGCCGAGAGGUGACGGGGAGCUCCUACGGGAGCGAACUGGUUGAGCCCAUGCUGUCAAGAAAAGCCUCUAGUGAGAAAGGCGGUAUCCGUACCGCAAACCGACACAGGUAGGUGGGGAGAGUAUUCCAAGGCGCGCGAGUGGUCCCCCGUUAAGGAACUCGGCAAUCUAACCCCGUACCUUCGGAAGAAGAGGUGCCCCAUACCGGUUGAGAGGUUCGCCCUCAAAGGCCGGCAGGGGUCGCAGAGAAAUGGCUCUGGCGACUGUUUAAUAAAAACACAGGACUCUGCUAAGCCGCAAGGCGAUGUAUAGGGUCUGACGCCUGCCCAGUGCCGGAAGGUUAAGGGGAGGGGUCAGCUUGGAAAGCGAUUUUCAAGCGGAGCUCUGAACCGAAGCCCCGGUAAACGGCGGCCGUAACUAUAACGGUCCUAAGGUAGCGAAAUUCCUUGUCGGGUAAGUUCCGACCCGCAUGAACGGCGUAACGACUGGAGCGCUGUCUCAACGGGGAGCUCGGCGAAGUUUCAUUACAAGUGCAGAUGCUUGUUACCCGCGACUAGACGGAAAGACCCCGUGAACCUUUACUGUAACCUGAUAUUGAAUCCGGAUAUACCCUGUGCAGGAUAGGUGGGAGGCUGUGAACCGGGAGCGUUAGCUUCCGGGGAGCCGUCCUUGAGAUACCACCCUUGGCCUAUCCAGGUUCUAACCCGCUUUGGUGAAUCCCAAAGGGGAACAGUGUCAGGCGGGCAGUUUGACUGGGGCGGUCGCCUCCUAAAAUGUAACGGAGGCGCCCUAAGGUUCCCUCAGCACGUUUGGAAAUCGUGCGUCGAGUGUAAGGGCAGAAGGGAGCCUGACUGCGAGAGGGACACUUCAAGCAGAGACGAAAGUCGGGCCUAGUGAUCCGGUGGUUCUGAGUGGAAGGGCCAUCGCUCAUCGGAUAAAAGGUACUCUGGGGAUAACAGGCUGGUCUCCUCCAAGAGUCCACAUCGACGAGGAGGAUCGGCACCUCGAUGUCGGCUCGUCGCAUCCUGGGGCUGAAGUAGGUCCCAAGGGUUGGGCUGUUCGCCCAUUAAAGCGGUACGUGAGCUGGGUUUAGAACGUCGUGAGACAGUUCGGUCCCUAUCUGUCGCGGGCGGAGGAUAUUUGCGGGGAGCUGUCCCUAGUACGAGAGGACCGGGAUGGACGAACCUCCAGUGUUCCAGUUGUCCUGCCAGGGGCAUUGCUGGGUAGCUGUGUUCGGAAGGGAGAAGCGCUGAAAGCAUCUAAGCGCGAAGCCCACCCCAAGAUCAGAUAUCCCACUGGGGAACCAGGUAAGACCCCGGGAAGAUGACCCGGUUGAUAGGCUCCAAGUGUAAGGAUGGUAACAUCUUGAGCUGAGGAGUACUAAUCGGUCGAGGACUUGACCGC